GUGGGGAAUAUUGCACAAUGGGGGAAACCCUGAUGCAGCAACGCCGCGUGAGUGAUGACGGUCUUCGGAUUGUAAAACUCUGUCUUCAGGGACGAUAAUGACGGUACCUGAGGAGGAAGCCACGGCUAACUACGUGCCAGCAGCCGCGGUAAUACGGAGGGUGCGAGCGUUGUCCGGAUUUAUUGGGUUUAAAGGGUGCGUAGGCUGGAAGGUCAGUCAGCGGUGAAAAGCUGUCGCUUAACGAUAGUCUUGCCGCAGAUACUUCCUUUCUUGGAUGAGGAGGAGGCCACUGGAACGGAUGGUGUAGCGGUGAAAUGCAUAGAUAUCAUCCAGAACACCGAUUGCGAAGGCAGGUGGCUGUACCUUAAUCGACGCUGAUGCACGAAAGCAUGGGGAGCAAACAGGAUUAGAUACCCGGUAGUCC
rnacentral:rRNA from 1 species